UGGUGGGUAGUUUGACUGGGGCGGUCUCCUCCUAAAGAGUAACGGAGGAGCACGAAGGUUGGCUAAUCCUGGUCGGACAUCAGGAGGUUAGUGCAAUGGCAUAAGCCAGCUUGACUGCGAGCGUGACGGCGCGAGCAGGUGCGAAAGCAGGUCAUAGUGAUCCGGUGGUUCUGAAUGGAAGGGCCAUCGCUCAACGGAUAAAAGGUACUCCGGGGAUAACAGGCUGAUACCGCCCAAGAGUUCAUAUCGACGGCGGUGUUUGGCACCUCGAUGUCGGCUCAUCACAUCCUGGGGCUGAAGUAGGUCCCAAGGGUAUGGCUGUUCGCCAUUUAAAGUGGUACGCGAGCUGGGUUUAGAACGUCGUGAGACAGUUCGGUCCCUAUCUGCCGUGGGCACUGGAGAACUGAGGGGGGCUGCUCCUAGUACGAGAGGACCGGAGUGGACGCAUCACUGGUGUUCGGGUUGUCAUGCCAAUGGCACUGCCCGGUAGCUAAAUGCGGAAGAGAUAAGUGCUGAAAGCAUCUAAGCACGAAACUUGCCCCGAGAUGAGUUCUCCCUGACUCCUUGAGAGUCCUGAAGGAACGUUGAAGACGACGACGUUGAUAGGCCGGGUGUGUAAGCGCAGCGAUGCGUUGAGCUAACCGGUACUAAUGAACCGUGAGGCUUAACCUU
rnacentral:rRNA from 1 species